AAGUAUUCCAUGCUAUUCCUUUAUGUAACCUGGGAUAUAAAAAGGUGCAGAUAAGAGAGUUUGCUUUCUUCUCUCUUCCGGUGGCUGAAGGUGACAGGUCUCUUCGCAGAUGGUUUUUGCUUGUAUAGGCCAAGGCCUGCCUGCUCUGACCUGCCGUUAUCUCCAGUCUCUCUGGGAGGGUGGGGAAAGUCGGCUGCUGCCUUGCACAGCUCUGCUGUCCCGCUCAGGGAUGUAUUUAAUUCAUGUUUAUAUUUAUUCACUAGCUCUCUAUUAACAGGCCUUGUUGUCAAGUCUUGGUGGGAAGCCGGCUCAAAACUUGCACAUGUCUUUCUUGUACUAAGAUCUUCUUGGGUGCUGAGAGAGAACUGGAAGAAGUGGGAGCUCAGCCCACACAAAAGCUCUGGCUGAAGAUGACGUUGCUGUAGCAGACUGUCUUUUGGCUGUUCUUGUGGGUUCGUUUUCUACCAAUGGGAGGUGGAGAGGAAAAAAGGGGAUUAGAAGGUCAGGACACAAAAAACAGAGAAGAUGCUGCACGGAAAUUUCUUGUACAUGAGAUCUGUGGUGUCUUGGUAACCUCCCUCGCACAUUCUAGAAGUGGGCAGGUGUGAUGGACUGAAAUGUCAGUAGUGUCUUCAACAUUGUCAAAAUCAUAGAAAGACUUUUUGUCAAACUGCAAGGAAGCACAGUCUGUCUGUGACCAUCGAAGCACCCCCCUCCUCCCAGUGCCUCUCGAGUGGAAUUUAGACUGUGACUGGGGACUUGAGAUAAGACUAUUGUCUAAUCAUCUCAGGUCUGAGGAGGAGUAAACAAGGCUCAGGAAUGAAGAAUGUAUCUGUGUUAAGAACCAGCCCUAGCUGGGCUCAGGAGGUGGUGGAGGAGAAGGGUUUCGGGUGUGUGAUGGUGAAAUCUCUCCACACCAAACCAAAGGAGUAACUCUCUACCCACCCCCCCAUCCCCCAAGAAGACCAUGUGCACACAGGACAUUCACAUGAGAGGCAGCUGAGAAGGGGUCACAAACCACCAAAGACUCCCGAAGCGUCCCCCUAAUUCAUUCCUGAGGCCUUCCACCACCAGAAGACUGCACAUAAUCUGAGUGAAGCAACAAAUCUGCUGCAAGAGACUGCAAAGUUUCCACCACCACCCACCCUGCCAAGGGGUGUUGCCAGGCAUCUCCUGAACGUAUAUUAAUCUAUUACUCUAUGUUUUUUGGGAAACCCUAACCACCAAAAAGAUCAGAAGAACUGGACUGUCGGGAUGCUGCCGGGUUACACGGAGUGGUGGUACUUUUCUAUUUUACUCUCUCUAUCACUUUCUUUCUUCUA